GAGGGGGGCAAGCGUUGUUCGGAAUUAUUGGGCGUAAAGGGCGCGUAGGCGGUGCGGUAAGUCACCUGUGAAACCUCUAGGCUUAACCUAGAGCCUGCAGGCGAAACUGCCGUGCUUGAGGGUGGGAGAGGUGCGUGGAACUCCCGGUGUAGCGGUGAAAUGCGUAGAUAUCGGGAGGAACACCUGUGGCGAAAGCGGCGCACUGGACCACAUCUGACGCUGAGGCGCGAAAGCUAGGGGAGCAAACAGGAUUAGAUACCCUGGUAGUCCUAGCCCUAAACUAUGGAUGCUUGGUGUGGCCGGUACCCAAUCCGGCCGUGCCGAAGCUAACGCGAUAAGCAUCCCGCCUGGGGAGUACGGUCGCAAGGCUG
rnacentral:rRNA from 1 species